rnacentral:rRNA from 1 species
UACGAAGGGGGGCUAGCGUUGCUCGGAAUCACUGGGCGUAAAGGGGUGCGUAGGCGGGUCUUUUAAGUCAGGGGGUGAAAUCCUGGAGCUCAACUCCAGAACUGCCUUUGAUACUGAAGAUCUUGAGUUCGGGAGAGGUGAGUGGAACUGCAGUGUAGAGGUGAAAAUUCGUAGAUAUUCGCAAGAACACCAGUGGCGAAAGGCGGCUCACUGGCCCCGAUACUGACGCUGAUGCACGAAAAGCGUGGGGGAGCAAAACAGG